AAUGUUUUGGUCCAAUGGUAGAACACCUGUCAUGUCUACAAGAGGUGUGGGUUUGAGUCCUACAGGCCUUU
rnacentral:tRNA from 1 species